GGGGACGCAAGGUUUCGACAGUAAAAGUUAGUUACUGGAUUGCAGGUUGAGGUUGUCGCAGCCCUCAUUAAAAAGGCGGCAAAAACAUAAAUGGCGAACCUGAAAUGGUUCUCGCUGGCUAAAAACAGCUAGCGCAUCCAACCUUACCCCACCCCGGCGGGUAGGGAUUGGGUGUCGAAAUGUCGGGGUGCCGUUAUCCGAAUGCCGAUACGGAUAGCGAAAGACUUAUCGGCUGGCUUGAUUGAACUGAGUUGGCAGAGGUCAAUCGGGCAAGAUUAAAAUGCCGACUAAACCUGUAGCAUAUUCAGGGCAGCUUUUAUUGGACGGGGAGUUCGAUUCUCCCCCGUCUCCACCA
rnacentral:tmRNA from 1 species